CCUACGGGAGGCUGCAGUGGGGAAUAUUGCACAAUGGGGGAAACCCUGAUGCAUCGACGCCGCGUGAGUGAAGAAGUAUUUCGGUAUGUAAAGCUCUAUCAGCAGGGAAGAAGCAAGACGGUACCUGACUAAGACGCCCCGGCUAACUACGUGCCAGCAGCCGCGGUAAUACGUAGGGGGCAAGCGUUAUCCGGAUUUACUGGGUGUAAAGGGAGCGUAGGAGGUAUGGCAAGUCUGAAGUGAAAGCCCAGGGUUUAACCCUGGGACUGCUUUGGAAACUGUUAGACUAGAGUGAUGGAGAGGUAAGUGGAAUUCCUAGUGUAGCGGUGAAAUGCGUAGAUAUUAGGAAGAACACCAGAGGCGAAGGCAGCUUACUGGACAGUAACUGACGUUGAGGCUCGAAAGCGUGGGGAGCAAACAGGAUUAGAUACCCGAGUAGUC
rnacentral:rRNA from 1 species